UACGAAGGGGGCGAGCGUUGUUCGGAAUUACUGGGCGUAAAGGGCGCGCAGGCGGCCUUAGAAGUCAGAUGUGAAAGCCCCGGGCUCAACCUGGGAAUGGCAUUUGAUACUCUGAGGCUGGAGUACGGGAGAGGAGAGUGGAAUUCCCAGUGUAGAGGUGAAAUUCGUAGAUAUUGGGAGGAACACCGGUGGCGAAGGCGGUUCUCUGGGCCUGUCCUGACGCUGAGGAGCGAAAGUGUGGGGAGCGAACAGG
rnacentral:rRNA from 1 species